rnacentral:rRNA from 1 species
GAUGAACGCUGGCGGCGUGCCUAAUACAUGCAAGUCGAGCGAACAGACGAGGAGCUUGCUCCUCUGACGUUAGCGGCGGACGGGUGAGUAACACGUGGAUAACCUACCUAUAAGACUGGGAUAACUUCGGGAAACCGGAGCUAAUACCGGAUAAUAUAUUGAACCGCAUGGUUCAAUAGUGAAAGACGGUUUUGCUGUCACAUAUAGAUGGAUCCGCGCCGCAUUAGCUAGUUGGUAAGGUAACGGCUUACCAAGGCGACGAUGCGUAGCCGACCUGAGAGGGUGAUCGGCCACACUGGAACUGAGACACGGUCCAGACUCCUACGGGAGGCAGCAGUAGGGAAUCUUCCGCAAUGGGCGAAAGCCUGACGGAGCAACGCCGCGUGAGUGAUGAAGGUCUUCGGAUCGUAAAACUCUGUUAUUAGGGAAGAACAAAUGUGUAAGUAACUAUGCACGUCUUGACGGUACCUAAUCAGAAAGCCACGGCUAACUACGUG